UUUCAGCCUCCCACUUAAUUUUUUUUUUUUUCAGAUUUCCCGCUUCUUUUUAGUCUCAUUUUCUGCCUCAUCCCACAUUUUCCUGAUACAAAGUUACCCUUUUUUCCAGAUUUCCCACUUCUUUUUUUCAGAUUUCCCCCUAUUCUUUCAGUAACAAUAACAACAACUACAAGUACUUCAGGUAUUGGCUUUAAGAAGACCGAUGUUCCACAGGAUUUUAGACUAUGAAGAUGAAUUCUUUGCUUCCCUCGUGCUCAUUCUCGAAACUCACAAUUUCCGCACCACAGGCUAAGCAUUCUUUGCUGGUGGUGAGUUUUGAUUUUUUUUUGAAGAGCCGUGUGUUUGGCUUGAGCAUAGUCAAAAUGUCACAUGCCUUGGGUUAUAGAUGAUGUCGAGGGGAGAUAUAUUUCAUUGCAACAAGUUUUAGCUUGGUUGCAUAUCUUCAUGAGGAAUUCGUUAUCAUUUGAUUAAUAUUUGAGUGAAUAGAUUCGAACUUAUAUUGUGUACAUGAUAUUGAACUUGGGUAUUAUUUUCCCUUAUUAGUAGUUAUUGAUUGAGUAGUUGUUAUGCUUA